CCUACGGGAGGCAGCAGUGGGGAAUAUUGCACAAUGGGGGGAAACCCUGAUGCAGCGACGCCGCGUGAGUGAAGAAGUAAUUCGUUAUGUAAAGCUCUAUCAGCAGGGAAGAAAAUGACGGUACCUGAGUAAGAAGCCCCGGCUAACUACGUGCAAGCAGCCGCGGUAAUACGUAGGGGGCAAGCGUUAUCCGGAUUUACUGGGUGGAAAGGGAGCGUAGACGGCAGCGCAAGCCAGGAGUGAAAGACCGGGGCCCAACCCCGGGACUGCUCUUGGAACUGCGCGGCGGGAGUGCAGGAGGGGCAUGCGGAAUUCCUGGUGUAGCGGUGAAAUGCGUAGAUAUCAGGAGGAACACCGGUGGCGAAGGCGGCCUGCUGGACUGCGACUGACGUUGAGGCCCGAAAGCGUGGGGAGCAAACAGGAUGAGAGACCCCUGUAGUC
rnacentral:rRNA from 1 species